UACGUAGGGGGCUAGCGUUGUCCGGAUUUAUUGGGCGUAAAGAGCGUGUAGGCGGCUAGGUAGGUCCGUUGUGAAAACUCGAGGCUCAACCUCGAGACGCCGAUGGAAACCAUCUAGCUAGAGUCCGGAAGAGGAGAGUGGAAUUCCUGGUGUAGCGGUGAAAUGCGCAGAUAUCAGGAAGAACACCCGUGGCUAAGGCGGCUCUCUAGUACGGUACUGACGCUGAGACGCGAAAGCGUGGGGAGCGAACAGG
rnacentral:rRNA from 1 species